GGGUUGGCUUUAGCUCUAGCAGUUACUUUGGCUGUCGGACGUCUCUGUUACCAAUCCUUGUCUAGGGUUCGAGACCCGCAGGAGCUUUCCAACCCUUUU
rnacentral:vault_RNA from 1 species